rnacentral:rRNA from 1 species
GUGUCAGCCGCCGCGGUAAUACGUAGGGGGCAAGCGUUAUCCGGAUUUACUGGGUGUAAGGAGCGUAGACGGCGCGGCAAGUCUGAAGUGAAAGCCCGGGGCCGUUAACCCCCGGGAACCGUGCUUUGGUAAACUAGCCAUGCUGGAGUGCUGGAGAGGUAAGUGGAAUUCCUAGUGUAGCGGUGAAAUGCGUAGAUAUUAGGAGGAACACCAGUGGCGAAGGCGGCUUACUGGACAGUAACUGACGUUGAGGCUCGAAGGCGUGGGGAGCAAACAGGAUUAGAUACCCUGGUAGUCCACGCGGUAAACGAUGAAUACUAGGUGUCGGGAGCAAAGCUUUUCGGUGCCGGCGCAAACGCAAUAAGUAUUCCACCUGGGGAGUACGUUCGCAAGAAU